rnacentral:rRNA from 1 species
AUGCCAGCCGCUGCAUCGUCUCUGCAUCGAGCGCCGCUCGACCCCGCGUUGGCCCGUCGACCGCGCCCUCGUCCCUGGAUCCGGCUCCUUCGUCCGCCCUCGCCGGAGAGCGCGCCAAGUCCACCGCCGUCGCCAAGUCCGGCCGCGACCGUCGCCCCCUGCAUCCUCUGCUUCGUCUCGACCGCGCCCCUGCCUCGCGUUGACUCGCACAGCGCCCGCGCCUGGGCCACCGCUGUUUCGGUCCAGCGGCCCCCUCCGUUGCGCCAGGCCCAGUGCGCCCAAGGCCUCCUCUGUAGAUGGGCCAAGGCCCGCUGGCUUCGGUUUCAUUCCGGAGUUGUGAGGAUUCGUUCGACUACAUCCGUUUCUCUUCUUCAUGGACUCGCUCUUCUUCCUAGCGGGAUCUCAGGCAAGAUGACCACCCCUCGAAAUCACUUCUAUCUUUGCUUUGCUAGUUGUUCACUCUAUUGCCAUGCUGCACUACCUAUCACUUGCUAUAUCAUGUCUCCCAUAUUGCCAUGUCAGCCUCUAACCAUCCUUUCCUAG